UACGUAGGUGGCAAGCGUUGUCCGGAUUUAUUGGGUUUAAAGGGUGCGUCGGCGGUCUAUUAAGUCAGUUGUGAAAUACGGCAGCUCAACUGUCGAGGUGCAAUUGAUACUGAUGGACUUGAGUACUGAUGAGGUAAGCGGAAUGGACGGUGUAGCGGUGAAAUGCUUAGAUAUCGUCCAGAACACCGAUAGCGAAGGCAGCUUACUAAGGAGUAACUGACGCUGAGGCACGAAAGUGUGGGGAUCAAACAGG
rnacentral:rRNA from 1 species